GCUACAAUCAGGUAUUCGUUUCAGCCUCUAAAUUUUAUAACGAGUUCUAUAAUACAUCUCCUUUGGAUAUUUUAUACAUUUUAUGUAUUACGUUCAUUUUUCAUUUUCACAAUUCCGAUACACGUAUAAACGUCCGCAGUAUAAAUAUUACAUUGCUAAAUAAGAUAUUGAUGUAUUGAUGUCGAUGAAAUUCAAACUUCAAACAAUAACUCGAUGAAAACCUCGUUUCACGGCUCAUUUUCGUUAUCAUGUUCACUUCCCCGGCCAUCCUUCGCUUCUCGAAGGUACUUCUCCGUCUUAAUUGCCCCAUUGUUCGCGAUAUUCGUCCUCCACGAUGCCCUUCCGGGGCAUACGCGAGAAAGGGGCAGAAAAAGCAACCGAGAAGAAAGCGAUGAGAAGUGGGGAGAGGAAAAAUCUUUUCGCCGUUCAUCCUCGCCACUUCACUCGCGAGCACUUCGCCGCCGUUUCAGUGACGCGUUGCACCUUUUUAUUGGCACGCGUACUGGUUUACUUCUCUCUCUUUUUUUUCGAGUUCCCGGGACUCCCGUUAUUCACACCGCUCAUUGUACUUCGAGUGCGACUGCAAACGCGCUGCGGACUCUCUCGACAAGAAUGCAAUUUCUGCAAUGACUUUUUUCCAAACUGAUAUAGCCACCGAUUCUCUCCUUUCUUCUCUUUCCCCUUUUCCGAUUAAAUUGAAAUAAAAUUGUUUUCCUCCCUUUGUCGUUUCGUAAUUACUUUUAUUGCUUGUUUUAUUGCUUGUUCGAUAAACAGUAUAGCACAGUAGAUGAACUGGAAAAUGGAUUAAAUGAUUUCAGAGAAUAACUUGUAGGUAAAUCCCUCGAUAAAUUCUGUACUAUAUGGAACAUUCUUCUGUCUUACUUCCGUGGAAAAUCGUUUGUUUUGAUAUGGGACAGAUCGUAAAGCUUAAAGUUGUACAGGAAUUUUGUAAUUACAUUUAUCGUUUAUUCUAAUACUUUUUGAAACAGUAAGUGUCGAAUCGGAAAGUUGACUUAAUGAUUUUGAAAGACAAUUCGUAAGACGUCACGUCAGCGGCUGUAAGUGACGGAACAAUUUCAGUGUGUAAGCUGAUUCUGGUAAUUUGCGUAAUCGUAGCUUGAUUGCUCUCCGAGUUAGGCCUAGUUGUCGAGCUAAGUGAAACGCAAUUGCCUUGCAACUGUGUAACUAAAUUUCCAAGACUGAUGACAUCGCGCUAACUAAGUUAUUAGGGACAAAAAUCUGUCUUUCUGCUACCGAAUGAAUCAUGCCAGGGGAAAUACAAUCUGCUUUACACUAGUAUCAACACCAACGGAAGGGGGAAUUAUUUACAAGUAAUUACCGGGCUUCCCGUUUCAAACGCUCGACUUGCGUACUACACUCCUUUCGUUUCCAGGAAGGAAGACAUGGGACCCUUGCAAUUCUAUGGAACUAACCUCGCAACCCUUCUCAUGAUUCACUUAAUUUAUUCGUAACAAAUCGUUUUCCAACUUAAUUCUGCUGCGAUUACCAUAUCGUAUCGUAUAUCGUAUGAUAUCAUAUCACAUCGUGUAUUAGAUUAUUACCGCACAAACGAGGUACAGAGAAAAUAUUUCUAUGAAUUAAGAGAAUUGAGUUUGUCAUAGUGUUACGAAUAUUUCGAUUUCUGCAAAUUUUAUAUUACUGUAGGAUCUGAACGAAAGAAAAGGUAUAGCCAAAAGAAUAUUAGUCGGAUCUUAAAAAUUCCCUUUCACAACCAAAUGUCAAGAAUCACAAUCCAAUGACACAUUUGAGUCGACUAAGAAUAAACAAUUCCAUACGAACAUAAUUAUUAACAUAGUUUACGUUUCAAAUGAUGCCCCUAAAAUAAUUACGUAAUCUUUUAAAUCCUUUUCAGAAUUGAAUAUCAAAAGUCAAUAGUCUCCUCCCCGUCAGUAAAUCAACUAAAACGAAAAUUCCAGACGUAAUGUAGGGUCAACAUCCUCGACGACUUGAUCAAACGUUUAACUUAAAAAAUCAACGCUUGUUUUAUGCUUGGUAAUUGACGUACCACGAUGCCCGGUGUCGCAUCUCCAGCAAGAUGGUCGAAGGUUGUUCCCCGGGGAGGCGUAUUUUCUCCCGACACCUUCAUUCCUCGUCUGGCAUAAUUACACUCGUCAGACUUGUCCCCCUUUGGGUCUCGUUUCUCCGCGAAAAACGAGAGCGAAAAAAAGAAGUGCGCGCGGAAUGUCUGGGAAGAGCGAAACGGAAGGAAAGGGUUGGGCGGUUCGCGAGGAGGCCCGUUAUCGCGUUGAUAACGGCUAGGGACACGGCGCACGAAACAGGCGACAUUCAUUAAUCGACGCCGCAGCGUCGUCACCCUUUAAGCGCAAAAGCUUUUGCGUCUCAUUAGUGUGACACCGAGAGAGGGUUGCUCCGAAGUGGAGCCACGCCAGCGCCACUUCACAUUCACCACUUUCCCUCUUUCCCUUCAACCCUUUUUCAGUCCACAGUGGCGUAGUCAGGAUUUUCAUUUGAGAAGUUUACCCUGCGCUUUCCUACCUACGCGAAACACGUUACGAAGUGCAAGAGAUCGGACUUCCUGAUAGCGAUUCACUGAGUCGCGCUAAUUUUCGCUAAUUCCGCCGAUGGCUUUUUAAAAAUACGAAAUUACUGGUGUUCUUGUUGUAUUUUUUCGCGUGAAAAGUAUUUAAGAGACAAAGGAAAGUUUGGGAACAGGGUGCUACGAGGCGAUUGCGGACUUUUGUGCAAAUUCGCGUCUUUGCGAACGCAGGAAUAAGAAACUGGAGAAAUGGAAUUUAAAUUACGAGGUUAUACUUUCGAUCUCUAAAUAUGAGAACACUCUGUUUCGGAUAUUGUUCCACAUUCAUGUAUUUUUCCAUAUUACAUUUUGCAUUUUUGCGCAAUUCGUAAAUUUUGAAAUACCUGCGCGAGAUACUUCUAAAUAAUAAAAGUCGGCUGUCUUUGAUGGGUAGAGAGAGAAAGAGAGAGAGAGAGAGAGAGCUUUAAAUGUUAUCGCAUGACAGCAAGAAAUCUCUUAACGAAAAUUGCUAAAUCUGUCAAUUUUUAUUAAGGGAAGGUCUAAAUUGGAAUUUACAAUAUCGCAUUGUGUCGAGAAAUGUCUGCCCGUUUAAAUUGCUAGACUCUUACUGUCAAUGAGAAAAGGAUUUAAAUUGUAGUUUCUACUAAUUGGAUUAGCCUUCGCUAAAUUUACGUCGAGGUAGCAUUAGUUGAGACACCACUGCAUGUUUUUACUAUAGGAGAAAGUAGUUUCUUUGGAGGAAGUACCCUUAAAGAGUCAAAGUCAGUUCAUGUAAAUCAGCCAACUGGCGGGUUUAGAGUGUAGCGUGCUUACCCACAAUUCUUAAGGUCUCGAGUUCGAGUCCCCUGGGGUUGUGAUAUUUUUCACAGACUUUCGUUACUCUAACGCUAAUAUACUAAAGCCCCGAAAGGUUGGGUGUGUUCUUCUUAAAAAAGCUUCUCUCUCCCUGCAUUAAAAAAUGGUCGGGUAAACAACACUAUAAAUAGGGGAAAGUCAGUCGCGGUUGUAUUUCACUGUCACUAUCCUUAGAAAUAACAUGUAGAGGAUUUUUAGAGAAAAAUUAGAUUUGCACUUCUUGGAUUCCCUAGAAAUACCUACGAACGAGUUUUUCGUCAUAAAGCUUUUCAGAUUCUGUCAAGUUAAAUACAAGGAAAAACAUUCUGGAAAAAUUAAAAGGGAAAAAAAUCUGGGUCGCACGUUGAUUAAUGUGUUGUGUUAUCAUUCUUUAACUCUUCUUCUACAUUCUUUCAUUCAAUUUUCGACCCGAUUAUAUCUUUUCUAUGUUAAAAACUAUCUUAAGGUAAAAACGAUCUUGAAUAAAAUAAACAAAAUUAAGAAAUACAAAGAAUUUUGAAAUUGAGAAAAAUGCAAGAGUAUCGUAAUAAAAGCAAGGGAUGUUAAAUGCAGAAUGUUGAGGAAUUUUGAGUAGUUCCUAAACUACGCCACUGUGGAUCCCUUCAUCGUCAUAAAGUAGAAAAGGGGAAAAGCAGGGAAAGAAGAAAAAGGGAGGGGGGAUGCGCGAGGUCCUCUUUUCCUCCACUUUGUCGAAUGUUCUGUUUAUACUUAGCCCCGACGUAGGCAAUAACAGCGACGAGAAGAAGAGGAACGUGUCACCAGUGGGCUGCCUUGAUGCGAUAACGUUGGAUUUGAUGUGGAUUACGGCGUACAUCAUAGGACUUUGUUUCAUAGCGAUUUUCGGCGACAUUUUGGUAAUCUUGUCCGUUGCAAUCCUUCUAUGGAAGACUGAUCGGGAAAAUAAGUAAUGAAAAUGAGCGGAAAACAGAGGGAGACGAGCAGGAAGCUGACAUUAUAUCGAUGUAGCAGGCUUGCAGGAUGGAAUUACGUUUUGCAACUGUGGAUAAAGUUGAAGCUACGUUGCCUCUUGAAGUUAGUUCACCGAUAUACCAUAAGUUUGAGAUUAAUUUAACCCUCGAAUAUAAAUAGAGAAGCAGCGACAGGGACCUGAUAUAUGGAUCCGCGAUGCCUAUUAACGAUCAACCCAAAAGCAUGAAACAGGAACAAAACUGUGGAAAAAAUGAAUGAACCCAUGCCUUCGCCCGUUGAAAAUUAUUCAAUUACAUGGCUUGAAGUUUUUCUUUGUGCGAAUUUCUAUUACCUACAAAUUAAAUACAUUAACGUUUUUCUUGAA